AUAUCUAUUUCAUAUUCUGACAAUGUUUAUGCUGCUACUGAUCGAGAAAAGAGGGAAGAACUGAUCUCGUUGAUGUUGUAGAAGAUGAAUCUGUAAUGGAAUUAGGGAAUUGAUGUCUGUAAGAUUUCAAGAAACAAGGGUUUGAGGUGAACUUGAGAUGAAGUGAAGAUUUAAGGGUUUGAUGUCUGUUUUGUUGAUGUAGAUUACGUUGAGGGGUGCAACAAAAUCAAAAGAUUAAGGAUUACGUUGAGGGGUGCAACAAAAUCAUACUUAAGAACAGUGGAAAACUCUUACAUUGACAGCUCUGACGAGGGGAACCAAGUGGAGGAGGAUAUAAAGAAGGGGAUUGAGAAGAAGAAGGUGGAAAAGAGGGCAGAAGAAAAUGGAAGAUGAAUUACAGAGGAGGAGAAGAACAAGUAGAAGUUGGUUCGUUUUCUAAUAAUUGUUUCUUAAUCGAAUUAGAGUUGAAUAAC